ensembl:lncRNA
GUUUACAAAACUAGGAGCAUCAGCUCUCCUUUUUCCAGUGAGUUUGCAGCAAAGCAGGGGUGGUGACUGCAGUUGCAGAGAAAGAAGGCAGCUGCUAAGCAUUGUCUAUGUUUUAAUAAGCGUAUCUCAGUUCUCUGUUUUUUUACAAUUCCAACGACUGUGACUCUGUGUGGUCACCUCGUGUUGUAUGCAGCAACAUGCAAUGAAUAUUUACUGAGGAUGAAUUGGCACUGUUGUAUGGGAACUGUUGAGUCACGGCCUGAACCACUGAUUGAUCAGCUGAGGCAAGGACUGAGUCAGCCAUAGGAGCACAGGGGAAGGCAAUUCAGCUGUGACCGCCUGGCUCCACCCCUCCCAGAUCCCAUUUAAGGGCUGACAGGCAGUAGAAAAGAAUCUCUUUCUGGAGGUUCCUCCUCUGUGGAGUCUUUCCUGUGAAGCUAGAUCUUUGGACACAGCUGAGCAUUCCUUCCCUGUUCGUUUCUUUUCCCAAUUUCAUCAUGAUAAUCUUUCCAGCUGUAGCAACAACUGUAUAACACAGCACUAUGGGAUGUGUGAUGAAACAGAGAGGACCAUCUGGGUCAUCUUGUCGAUACCACAGCCUCAAUGUGCCAUCUCCCGUCUGCUAUGCUGGGUUCCCACAGGAGCAGCAAUCCUCUGCCCAGGUCUCCUGUAGCCCACCAGCCCUGUCCCGAACUCCUGCUGUCACUGCAAACCCUCAGCAAAAUGAUGCUGCUAGGGUGAUGCUCUUACUUGCCUCCACAGUCUUCUGCACCUUGUUGGAUGUGGGUUCAGGAUAGCAGAACCUGUUGCAUCUGUUCCUGGCUUCUGUCGUAAGAAACUUCCUGAUUUAUCCACACUAACAAAUGACCCUGUUUGGAGAGGCUGUUCAGAGGGUCCCUAUAAAUGCAGCAGUCUCUCUGUGCCUAUGAGCAGUGGAAAGAACGACUCCCACGGCCAAGCUGCCGUGUCCUUGGGGUCAGAUGGCAGCAGGGUGCUGGGCUGUGGCUCUGGACGUGGUGGGACACAUUCUGAGCUCUGUGCUGUCUACAGCACUGGGAUAGCGAGCCUGGGGUUAUGUGGGCACCCAACAGGGUAGGCAGAUCCUUAUUUUGGACAGGUGGGCAGGCAGGCCUGCCAUUCCCUGAAAACAGAAUCUCUGCUGAAGAGCAUUAGAUGUUGCUUUUCUUUGUGCCAGUGGUGGCCAGAGGCAAUGACAGCAGCAGCGUCCUUAUUUGGAUGCAGUGUUUUCAACAGUUAUUUUAACAGGUCAGAAGUGAUGGAUCAGAACGGAAUUUAACUCAUUUCAAUGUUGCUGAAGCCAUUAAUGUUGUGUCAUGGUGUGCAUGCAGAAGAACCUCAUCCCCCUCCCAGCCCUAUGAAACGCACAGCAUCCAUUUGAACAAAGGAGCAACUGACCCAGCCGAGGGCUGACUGUGGCACAAUGCAGUGGUCUCUGGAAGAAGGGAAGGUGCAGGAAGGCCCUACCUGGGGGUCAGCUCCAGCCAUGAGAGCUGGUAGACGUGCAGACAGGUGGGAGCUGCAAACCCACGUUAUUUCUGCACCCCUGUGCACAAACACUCACUGACCGAGCUCUUACACUCUGCCAUAAAAUGUAAUGUCUUAUUGCUCCUGGAAUACGUGUGUUCCCAGAGCUGAUGUCUGUAGCCCAUAAGAGCAUAUGAUGAGUUCUCUUAGCGAGCAUGAACGCUGGUGUUGUAAGCACAGACAGUGCAAUAUUGACAACAUUUUGCUCUAGCGUUUAGUAUGAAUUUCACACGAGUAUUAGAAUGACGAGCAGCUUUUCUACAUGUGUAUUGAUUCAGCAACAGAAAAAUAACAACCUCUCAUUCAGCCAUUUUAUUGUCUGAACAAUAAAAGAUUCUGCUGGGUGAUUUGAGUCA